UGGGGAAUAUUGCACAAUGGGGGAAACCCUGAUGCAGCGACGCCGCGUGAACGAAGAAGGUAUUCGUAUCGUAAAGUUCUGUCCUAUGGGAAGAUAAUGACAGUACCAUAGAAGAAAGCUCCGGCUAAAUACGUGCCAGCAGCCGCGGUAAUACGUAUGGAGCGAGCGUUGUCCGGAAUUAUUGGGCGUAAAGGGUACGCAGGCGGUUUAAUAAGUCGAAUGUUAAAGAUCGGGGCUCAACCCCGUAAAGCAUUGGAAACUGAUAAACUUGAGUAGUGGAGAGGAAAGUGGAAUUCCUAGUGUAGUGGUGAAAUACGUAGAUAUUAGGAGGAAUACCAGUAGCGAAGGCGACUUUCUGGACACAAACUGACGCUGAGGCUCGAAAGCGUGGGGAGCGAACAGG
rnacentral:rRNA from 1 species